ensembl:snoRNA
CCAUUUUUGUUGAAGCUCUUUCUAAAAUUGAAGAAACUAGUAUCAUGUCUUAGUAUUUGUAAUAUGGCCAGCAGAGUAAACACAAGAAUAAAAAACAACUAAACAACUGUACCAGGUAGAAGAAAAACUGGGGUGAACCUUUUUAAGUCCCCAGUCCUUUGUUCUAAGAUUUUUGGUACAGUAAUA